UAAUACGAAAUAUGAUUGUUCACAUUAAAAUGUAAAACUUGAUGAUAAAGUAUGAUAAGGUGAAAAAACGUGACAUUUGACGUGUAGAAAGUCACUUUUCAUCAAAAGUACCAUAACAAAACUUGUUCCCAUUUAUCCUGUGUGUCCAUACACACUGGUGCUCUUUAUCCGCUAAAACGCUACACAGCGCUUCAGAAGGCUCUAGGAGCAAAGGAAAGUGGUUUUUCUAACAAACUCAUAUUUUCAAUUGCCUGACCAACUCCAAUAUGAUGUUUAUCACAUAUUUAGACAUAAUAUAGUACUAUGAAAUGUUUCUGACCCAAAAUAUUACGAAAUAUGAUCGUUUACAUUAAAAUGUAAAACUUGAUGAAAAAGUGUGAUACGGUGAAAAAAGUGACAUUUUAUGUCUAGAAAGUCACUUUUCAUCAAAAGUACCAUAACAAAACUAGUUCGCAUUCAUCCUGUGUCCCAUUACACACUUGUGCUCUUUAUCCGCUCAAAACGCUAUACAGCGAACGAGAAGGCGCUAGGAGCAAAGGAAAGUGGUUUUUCUAACAAACUCAUAUAAUCAGUGCCCGACCUACUCCAAUUUGAUUUUUUUCACAUAGUUAGACAUAAUAUAGUACUAUGAAAUGUUUCUGACCCAAAAUAUUACGAAAUAUGAUUGUUUACAUUAAAAUGCAAAAGUUGAUGAAAAAGUAUGAUAAGGUGAAAAAAGUGACAUUUUAUGUCUAGAAAGUCACUUUGAAUCAAAAGUACCAUAACAAAAUUAGUUCGCAUUCAUCCUGUGUCCCAUUACACACUUGUGCUCUUUAUCCGCUCAAAACGCUAUACAGCGAACGAGAAGGCGCUAGGAGCAAAGGAAAGUGGUUUUUCUAACAAACUCAUAUAAUCAGUUGCCCGACCUACUCCAAUUUGAUUUUUUCACAUAAAAGUCAGUUUUCAUCAAAAGUACCAUAACAAAACUAGUUCGCAUUCAUCCUGUGUCUCUUACACACUUGUGCUCUUUAUCCGCUCAAAACGCUAUAGAGCGAACGAGAAGGCGCUAGGAGCAAAGGAAAGUGGUUUUUCUAACAAACUCAUAUAAUCAGUUGCCCGACCUACUCCAAUUUGAUUUUUUCACAUAGUUAGACAUAGUAUAGUACUAUGAAAUGUUUCUGACCCAAAAUAUUACGAAAUAUGAUUGUUUACAUUAAAAUGCAAAAGUUGA
ensembl:lncRNA